UAGCUGGAACUGAAAGCCUGGAACUUCCACUUAGUAUUGCAGUUGAUCCAAGCAGAGCUAGAUAAAAAAAUUGCUUCCUUUUCCCAGCUCUGAGAACUGAGCAUGCGCAGCCACACCCACAUUUUGGAGCACAUGCAUGCUUCUUUAAUUAACAAAAUGGCGGAAUGAGAGUUAUUUAAAAAGUUGUGGACCUGCGCAUAGAUAGUUGGAGUAGAAUGGUGUAAGAAUUAACCUUGUAGCAUUGUUCAAAGACCACGAUACCCCUGCUUAACUGAUUGACAGAAGAUGAUGAUGAUGAUGA